GAACUUUAUUUCCACACUUGUUAAAAUGGCAACUUAUAGGAGUAUUGCGUGUUGUUGUUCAAUGGAUUCCCAUCGACCCUGUUAUUGCUGACAAGUGGGUGAAAAAUAUAAGGCUUAGUCGUGGAGAAGUAUAUUGGAAGCCAACCAAAAAUACACGAAUAUGUUCAAAAAAUUUUAAGAUAAGUACAUAACACAGGGUGGAUCGUGUAGGUUGCGUCGAAAUGCUGUCCCUGUUAAGGUAUAAUUAUCAAAGCAUGAUUUAGUACUUAUUAUGUGUAUUUUGGGAUUUUGUGACACAAUGUUGAUAAAAAUAAAUGAAGCAAAUGAUAAUAAAAUUACUUUUUUCAGGAUUUACAUAUUUCAUGCACAGGCACAGAUGAUCAAUUUGAAGAUAAUGUGGAUGAGAUUUCACCUUUUCAUGGGCUAUCGGGUUUAAAUGCUGCUGAAGACAAAACGGAAGGUGUUCGUGGAGCUUCAAAUAGAAAUUUAGUUACUGAAAAUUCAUCGCAGCCUAGUACGUCACGCGGGAAUGUGAGGCGCCCAUCAGACGACGAAUUCGACUAUAUAUUUGACACUCCUCGUAAGGCCCUCCUUCGAAAAAAGUUAAAGAAAAGCACAUUCCUUAAUCUCAAACAUAGAAAAGUUAUAAAAACUUUAAAACAAAAGACCCGGCGUCUCCAAAAGAGGAAUAAAUCGCUCAAAGGAAUUUUAAGUGAACUACAAAAAAAGAGAUUCAUUAGUAAUGAUGUGUCUAAUUUAAUGUAUGAAAAAGUUUUUGCAGCCGAUUUAUUCAAUAACAUGGUAAAAAACAUUAAAAAAGAUAAAAAGCGUCCUAUGCCAAAAUACACACCUGAGUUCAGAAAAUUCUGUCUUACGUUGCACUACCAUAGUCCUCGAGCAUAUACAUACGUUUGUAAUACUUUUGAUACGUGUCUUCCACACCCAAAACCGUUGUAUAAUAGGUAUUGCAGCAUCGAUGGAUCACCGGGUUUUACAAAUGAAUCCAUUAAACUUUUAAAAUCAAAGUCCCAAAGCUCAGAGAAAACGUUAAUAUGUGGACUGAUUGCCGAUGAAAUGGCGAUAAGAUCUCAAAAUAUUAAAGGAGGUCUGGGAAAUGUAGAUGUUGGCACAGGCAAAACUAGUGGUAUAAAAGCCUCACAGGCUUAUGUUUUUAUGCUUGUUUGCCUGAAUGAGCGUUGGAAAAUCCCUUUGGGAUAUUUCCUAAUUCACAGUUUGGAGGGAAAACAUAAAAAAAUUUUAAUAAACAUAUGUUUAGCUAAAUGCCAUGAUACUGGAAUUAAAGUUGUAUCUCUUACCUUUGAUGGUCACCCCACCAAUAUUUCAGCGAUGGAAUUGUUAGGUUGUCGGGUUAAAGAUCCAAAAAAUAUGAAAACCACCUUUAAGCACCCUUCAUCAGAUCACGCAGUCGCGGUAUUUCUAGAUCCAUGCCACAUGAUUAAGCUUAUCCGUAAUCACUGGGAAGACAAAAGCCAAUUCCUCGAUGAGCAAAAAAAUGUUGUGGAUUGGAACAAUUAUGAAAGUUAAACUGGCCAUGCAACUUCUUAGCAGAAGUGUUUCUAUCAGUCUAAAAUUUUGCCGCGAAACCCUAAAACUGGACAAAUUUGAAAAAUCUGCGGGCACAGAAAUUUUUAUUAUGCUUUUGAACGACCUAUUUGAUGUUUUUAAUUCAAGAAGAUUAACACAAUACGGAUUUUGUCGGCCAUUGUCAAAAGAUAAUAAAGUAAAUAUAUUCGAUCUUCUUGAAAAAGCCAAAAAAUAUAUCUUAAAUUUAAGUAUAAAAACUACUAGGAAGCGUACGUACCAUGAAAAUGAGGCUGCUAUAAGAAUAAAAGUUAAGAGUUUUGAGUCAGUCUUAAGUGUUCAAAGUAAUAAAGGUUUUAAAGGAAUGUUGAUAUGCAUAGAAAGCCUAAAACACUUGUAUAAAACUCUUGUUGAGGAUACAAAAGAAAUGGUCUAUAUUUCUACGUACCGUUUGAGCCAAGAUCAUUUGGAACUGUUCUUCGGCAUGAUAAGAAUGAAUGGAGGGCAUAAUGAUAAUCCUAAUGUCCUUCAGUUCAAAGGUGCAUACAGAAAACUAUUAUGCCACAUGGAACUACAAGCAGUGGUAACAGGCAACUGUGUGCCAUUAGAAGAUAUUUCUGUCCUGACUUGUUCUUCUGCAAUAAAAUGUAUUAAUCAAACCACUUUUUCUGAACGUUUUGACGAUGACGAAGAACAGCCGUACCAAGAAUCAGAAAGACACGCACCUGAUGUAGACAUUGCUUCUCUGAUAGCUUCGACUGAUGA